CUAGUACUCCCUCCAUUCAGCAAAGGAUGUCUCAAGUUUGUCAAAAUUUGGAUGUAUCUAGACGUGUUUUAGUGUAUAGAUGCACACGUCUAGAUACAUCCAAAUUUGAUCAAAAUUGAGACAUCCUUUGUUGCACGGAAGGAGCAGUAA
rnacentral:pre_miRNA from 1 species